rnacentral:lncRNA from 7 species
UGAACUGCCUUACAAUCCAUGCAUAAACAACUCAACUUGCCUGGCACAAGCUGAUGGAAAUCCCAUGUGCAUUUGCAAAACAGGAUAUGAAGGUACUUACUGUGAAGUUAACAGUGACGAGUGCAUCUCCCAUCCAUGCCAGAAUGAAGGUCUCUGUGUGGAUGGGAUAAACAGUUACAGGUGCUUCUGUCAGCAUGGCUUCACUGGGACACUAUGUGAGGUGGAGAUUAAUGAAUGCUUAUCAAGACCCUGCAAAAACAAUGGGACUUGUCUGGACCUCAUAAACAGAUUCAUCUGUAACUGUGCACCUGGAUACUAUGGGUCUUUAUGUGAGAUAGACAUAAAUGAGUGUGAAACUCUGCCGUGCUUGAAUGGAGGAAGCUGCAUCAACAGGCUUGGAGGAUAUCAGUGUUUCUGUUCUCCUGGGUUCACAGGUGAUAGGUGUGAAACAAAUACAGAUGAAUGUAUAUCUACUCCUUGCCUAAACAAUGGAAGUUGCAUUGAUGACAUCAAUUCCUACAAGUGUCACUGCAGAAGUGGUUUCAUUGGAACAAACUGUGAGACAAAUGUUAAUGAAUGCUGGCCAGAGCCUUGUCUUCAUGGAAGAUGUAUAGAUCUCAUUGAUGGAUAUCAGUGCUCUUGUGAAGCAGGAUGGACCAGCUCAAGAUGUGAGAUAAAUAUUAAUGAAUGUGAAUCCGUUCCCUGCAUUAAUGGAGGUUCUUGUCAAGAUUUGGUUAAUGAAUUUGCUUGUAUCUGCCUGACUGGAUACACUGGCAAGUUCUGUGAAUUUGAUAUUGACAUUUGCAAUGAACCUACAGUCAGCUCAGUUCUCUGUCACAAUGGCGGUGUAUGUGUUGAUGGGCCUGGAAGAACUUUUCAUUGCAGGCUGAACAUUCCCGUGUCUCUCAGCCUUUCCUCAUAGGGAAAUGCUCCAGGCCCCUAAUCAUCUCUGUGGCCCUUCGCUGGACUUUCUCUAAAAGUUCCUUGUCUUGAACUUGGAAGCCUGGAACUGGACACAGUACUCCAGAUGUGACCUCACCAGGGCAAGUAGAGCGGCAGGAUCACCUCCCUCAACCUGCUGGCUUCUAUUUUGUGCGCCUUGCUCUUUUUAACUCUAUUUCCUGCCUACUAGCUGGAAUGUGGAAAAGGAGAAUGAAGAGCUGAUUCCAAGCCAACCUGAUAGCUUUCUUUUGUGAGACACUGCCAUAUUUUUCCAUGUCUCUUGUCUUCCAGGCUAAUGAUUCCUGGCUUUCCCUGUUCUUACGCUAUCCCAAAAUUCUGUUUACACUUAUUGCCCUUUAUCAGACCUUUUUAAUUUCUAUUUUACCAUUAUUAACAUAAGGGGUCAAGAACACACAAUAUCCAAGGCAUGAGACAAUCUGUGAUUCAUACAAUGGCAAAAUGUUUUCUUUCUCCAUCUCUGUUCCUUCCAUAAUAAUACCUUGCAUUUCUUUGAUGCUGGGAAGAAAGUAAACACAGGUCUUCUAGAUUUACUCUUAAGCUGACUGAUCACUAAACUGUAGCUUCCAUGCAGAAUGGUUAGAUAAAGUUGGUGCACUAACAUGUUCAUGUACUACUCCCAUGUUUAAUAAUUUUACCCAUAAAUAUACAUGUAAGUAUAUAUACAUAUAUGAGAUUUUUCAUUAAAUUGCACUAUUUUUAAUCAGUCUGUACUGUGAAACAGUGAGCAUAAGUAAUUAUGUCAGUGACAAUUUCUAUGUAUUUUUCUGACUUUUCUGGAUAUAUAGCCAUGUUUCACACAUACAUGUAACACACUUAUAAAGAGAACAAUUAUACCAUUGUCUUUAUUUGCUACAUGCUAAUACAUAGUUAUCUUUGAAUUUAAUAAACUGCAUAUGUUAACUGGUAGAUACUCUUAAUGUUUUCAACUAUAAGCAGUACUGUACUCAUAAUUAAAAUGCGUAACUAAUU